rnacentral:rRNA from 1 species
AUUGAACGCUGGCGGCAGGCCUAACACAUGCAAGUCGAGCGAGAGGCGGACGGGUGAGUAAUGUCUGGGAAACUGCCUGAUGGAGGGGGAUAACUACUGGAAACGGUAGCUAAUACCGCAUACCAUCGGAUGUGCCCAGAUGGGAUGAGCUAGGAGGUGGGGUAAAGGCUCACCUAGGCGACGCUCCCUAGCUGGUCUGAGAGGAUGAACAGCCACACUGGAACUGAGACACGGUCCAGACGCCUACGGGAGGCAGCAGUGGGGAAUAUUGCACAAUGGGCGCAAGCCUGAUGCAGCCAUGCCGCGUGUAUGAAGAAGGCCUUCGGGUUGUAAAGUACUUUCAGCGGGGAGGCGUUACCCGCAGAAGAAGCACCGGCUAACUCCGUGCCAGCCGCCGCGGUAAUUC